UAGGGAAUAUUGCAAAAUGGGCGAAAGCCCGAUGCAGCAACGCCGCGUGGGCGAUGAAGGCCUUCGGGUCGUAAAGCCCUUUUUGAGGGGAUGAGGAAGGACAGUACCCUCAGAAUAAGCCUCGGCUAACUACGUGCCAGCAGCCGCGGUAAAACGUAGGAGGCGAGCGUUAUACGGAUUUACUGGGCGUAAAGCGCGUGCAGGCGGAUUGGAGAGUUGGAUGUGAAAGCUCCCGGCUUAACUGGGAGAGGUCGUUCAAUACUUCCAGUCGUGUGUGCAGUAGAGGGAAGUGGUAUUCCGGGUGUAGUGGUGAAAUGCGUAGAUAGCCGGAGGAACACCAGUGGCUAUUUCGGCUUCAUGGACUGUAUCUGACGCUCAGACGCGAAAUCUAGGGUAGCAA
rnacentral:rRNA from 1 species